AUUAUGUGCAGAAAGCUAUGAAAGACCAGAAGAGGGCGAUAUACACUCAACAUUGACAUUUAAUGAUGUUCAUUCUUCUUUAAGGAGUUAAAUUAUAAUGAAGAAAAUAAUCUUAAUGAUUAGAUGAGCUCUGAUAGUCUUACAGCACAGCAUUAUAGUAUGGUUAUGGUAUAUUAUGGUUUCAUAUGUUUUCAGUGUUCAUGAACUUAUGUAAUUUUAAUGUUGUUCUCAUCCUCUUACACUGACAGAUAGGAGGAGCCUGUGGAGAUCUGAUAUAGAGCAAACUAAACUCUUUUUCUUCCUACAGUGCAAACAUGACGAUCCUUUGUGUUCUGCUUCUGCUAUUGUUGAUGAAAAGGGAGACAUUUGGACAGUCAAUAACACCGCUGGAAAACAAGGUGCUUAAAUCUGCAGGAGACGAAGUCACUCUGUCCUGUAAAUAUGAUGGAGCUGUAAGUAACCUGCACUGGUAUCGUCAGUAUCCGGGAUCCAAACCAGAGUUCCUCGCAUUCAUUUAUCCACAUGGAGCCACAAGUGACCAUCUUCCUCCUCGUCUUUUACCUAAAGUGGAUAAAAACAACAAUCUUGUGAGCCUGGAGAUCUCCUCUGCUGAAGUAUCAGACUCUGCUCUGUAUUACUGCGCACUGACGCCCACAGUGACAGGAAACUCAUCCUCACUGUACAAAAACAUCCUCAACAAUAAAUCUCCUCAUAAACUAAAGAUUCAGAAAAGGGCCAGUGCAUCACAAAACACUUAAAAUAUCAUACAGCAGUUCAGACAGUGGUGGUAUAAAGAAAGAAAAGUAGCAGUAAUGCAUCUA